GACUGAUCCAAAAAGACAAUGUACCUUACAUGUAGGGAAUUUGAAAACCAUUGCUUUACAAGAUCGUCUGGUGUGAUUUACAUGGGAGAUGAGUCUUUUCCAGGACCACUAGGUGCAUUUAUCUCUCAAAAGAACCUAGGAUGACAGAGUGCCAAUUUAGCUCAUUUGCAGAAAGUAAUACAUUUUAAUCAGCAGUAAUAGAUGAAGAAGGACAAACCAGAGCCUGGAAAAGUCAUUAGCUUUGCACCCUGGUGAAGCUCCUUCAUGCUGAAGCAUCGGGAUGGGGUCAUUUCUCUCUCUCUCUUAGAAGGGCAUGCCACACAAUCCUUGGAUAAAACAACAGAUUGAAAAGUAAAUAAGUCUCUUUUUUUGGUGGUCACCCCUUUCUGUAUAGUCUGGAUUUAAUUUUCUGUUAAGUGCAGAGUUAUGUCAAGGGAGUACCGAGGAGGGAGAGAGAGCUAAGUUUGAAGUUCUAAUGUAGUCAGGCUAAAAUCUGUCACUCAGCUUAUUACAUGUUGAUGACUCCGUGCGCCUCAGCCGUAAGCAGCCCAUGAUUUAUGGACACCAAGUGAACUCCUGCGGCAAAAACCCAGCCAUGAGAUCAGAGAAGCAAUAGGAACUUUUUUUUCUUUUUUGGCAGGAGACAGUGCCUGCAUUUUUCUCAUUCAUGCCAAACUGCUUUGCACGGCAAUUAGCUGUGUCCUCAUUUAGUCUCCAGUCCCAAAGGGUAAUGAAAGUCAUAUAUCAUCUUCAAGGCUGCUAAUUAUCCAGCUCAGUUACAGGUCAGCCAUAUCGGAUUCGGUCAACAGGGUGAAAUUCCUAUUGCUGCUAUUUUUGCACUGUUCCAAAAGUUUGUUCACACCAGAGGCGAUUCAACCAGCAGGCCAACUAGGCAGUUGCCUGUGGCACCAUCUUGCUGGGGGCACCAUCGAGGCAACUCCUGUCUCGUGUGGCCUGCCUCCGCAAGGUAUUGAACUGCUUUUUCUGUUGAUUUGUUAUAAAACAUGAUAUUUUAGUGUUUAAUUUGUAAAAUCUUAAUGUAAUUUGAUGUUUAAUAGGCUUUUCCUUAAUCCCUCCUUAUUAUCCAACAUUUUCGCUUAUCCAACGCUUUUAUUUUUCAGUGAUUGGUUUGGGGAGGGGUGUGUGUGUGCCAAAAUUCUGUUCGCCUACACUUGAAAAAUACCUAGGGCCAGCUCUGGUUCCCACAGCCAAGUUUUGACCACCAUCCUGAAGGACGGGGGGGGGGGGGGACGCUGAUCUAAUCUCGCCAGGGAGGGAGUUCCAUAGCCGAGGAGGCCCUGUCUCUCUUGUUACUUAUUCAUCUCUGGUUUGUCA
rnacentral:lncRNA from 1 species